UGCCUGCAGUCAGCAUUUAGGAUUCAGGCCACUGACUCUUGGUAGUGACAGAGCUGCCAAGUUCUGACUUGGCCAUCACAUUCAGCUGUGGAAUCAGAAUGUUUGUUUCACUCCUGAGGAGACAAUGGAAAGCCUGAAGGGCUGAAUUAACCUAAGGUGCACCUGCAUGGAGGACAGAAGAAGAGCAGCUUCCUUCUGUGAGUCACCGUGCUCCCAUCUGAAACAUUUUGUAAUAUUAGCAAGGAGUCUUAGCUGCUUCUUGCUGCCUCUUUGCUCCUGUCCUACUUUCUAGGAAAACUGCAGAAGUUCACUGCAUUCUCACAAUGCCCCCAACAGCAAUUCUGAGCAACCUGCACUACCACAGCACUCAUUAAGCCAUACAAAGAGAAAUCGAAAGAUGACAGACAACUCUUUUCACUUCUCCUUGCAUGAGUAAGAGCUGAGCCUGACUUGCAUGAGGUGGAGAAGGAGAGUAAUCUGAGAGUUUCUAUGAAUCUCACAAGCAUGUAACAGGAAGAAGGCUUUGCAUUUCUGUACAGAAAAUGACGGUGCAGAGAAAAUAAAGAAGUAUUCUGCAAACUCCACUUUAGGCCUUCAUUACUGGUCAGAGGACAAGUUCUAUCACCAGGCCACCGAUAUAUACCGAAGAUGUUUGCAUCAACAACAGACCCAUCAAGAAUACUACUGGAAAAUUUGAGAGCCAAGCCUCAUGGCCUCAUGGUCCAGAACUCUAUUACAUCUUCUCCUUUUCAUAGAGUCUGACCAAAAAUUGCAAUGUAAAUAGCAUUUUGGCAUCCUUCUUUCAGGACCCAACCUACAGACGUUCAUCCUACCAGUGGCAAGGCACACUUGCCCAGGUCUCCACGAUCUUUCGGAACAGAGUGAUGGGAAAACAACGCUGAACUAAGUGAUUUGUUCUCUUCCAUCUCAUCCAGUUCACCCUUCCUUUCAGAGAAAGGGUUCUCAAGAAGGGUCUGCCUUCAUCUACUUUAUCUUUGCAAAUCCUUGACUUACCCUGUACUAGGAGAGAGGAUCAAUGGAACUGUAUUUCCAGGAGAAGACAGUCUGAUCUGUGGCAACCACUUUGAGUUCACAACUCUAAUCUGUCUGUAUGUUAGAUUUUAAUCAAACAUUAGGUAACACCUGUAUCACUGAAAUGAAG